rnacentral:misc_RNA from 1 species
GCCAUAGCUUCACCCUCAUUUCAGACUAGUAAAUGUGCAUUUGGUGCAAAAUCACUACUGGGUUGUCCUCAUUGCCAUCCAUAAAUAGCAUCAAUAUAUCAAUAAGCUAACAAAGCUCAUUUUAUCAACCCAUGCAUUUGAUUAGCCUUGGAGUCACAUAUCACUUAGGCAUGAACUUCUUUGGAUAUAGCCCAUUUUCUUUGCAUUCCUCACCUGCGUCUUUGGAAGAAAAUAUUCUCAUAAUGAAAAUCCUACUAACGCAUGAUCCUGAUGGUUGUCACCUAGAUUCUGAGCUACUGCUUUG